rnacentral:snoRNA from 1 species
UGAUGAAUGUUACAUCACUUCGGCAGUCGGAUGUCAGCGUGACGCAGUAUGAGUUUCUGAGA